AAGGCCGCCUGAUGUGGCAUCAAUGACCUUCGUCAAGUCCUGUCCUGGGUCCUGCUCCCUGUAGCCUGGACAAGUCACAACUCCCUGAUCUUCAGAGACCUCAUCUGUACAUGGGACAUGGAGCCCAGGAGGCAGGCAUUCGGGAAGCGGUGGUGACCAGGUGUCCCCCUGCAACUGGGGGCCCUGACCGUUGCAGAUUCAGAGAAAACCUUUCUGACUCUGGAGCUGUCCAGAACGGAAGCGGGGCCAGUGAGCCACAGGCCACAUGGGCGCUGAGCCCCGGGGAGCACGGCAUGUUCCAUGAGCACACGGAGCGGGCAGCGAGCUCCUGUCGGGGCUCUGCAGCGCAGUGGCCGCUGGGCCCGUGUGGGAGUUUUCACCACAGUUGAUCACAGCAGGAAGAACAAAGGUUUCCCAGUGGUACUUAAGUUUCUGCUUUUGCUAUUAAGAAACCUCAGAGAAAGACUUCAAACAAUGUAUCACUAAGUUUACAGAAAUCUUGGGGAAGGAAUACACUGAGUAUGACACAGCUUUUAAUGCUCUUGGAAAAGCUGUCGAGCCUACUUAUUCUGAGAUUCAGAAACGCUGAGGGCAUCAACAAGUGCUUGGCUUGUGGCCCGUCUUCCACCUUCAGAGAGCAUCCCUCCAGCCCGCGCUCCGGGGCUCCGCCUCUGACCCCGCCUCCGCCUCCCUCCUCUAAGAACUUGUGUGACCAGGGGUCUGCCCAGAUGACCCAGGCUGAUCUCCCAUCUCCAGACCCUUAACUUAAUCAGAUUGUCUGCAGCGUCAUGUACGGUAACGAUUAGAGGUUCUGGGGAUCAGGACACAGGUAUUUUUGGGAGCCACUGUUCUGUCUGUUAUGGCUACAAUGAACGUUUGUGUCAGAGUUUUUGUGUGUGUGGCGUAUGCUAGAGUUUAUCUAGGAGCCUGAUAGUUGGAUCAUAUGUAAGUAUAGGGUUCACAUCUUAAGAAACUGC